CUUCCGAGGUAACUCGGUGUGUUUGGUGGACUGCACGGAAUGGGAUGGAAGUAUUUGAGAGCUUGGGGAAAGACGCUCAGGAGGUGGAACCCAGGGGGCGGGAAGUUACCGUGCAAGGAAACCGCAAUAGAGAUACCGUUGCAAAAAAAAAAAAUUGUCUCACUGCCAACCUACCUGAAGGCUACUGGAAAAGGAAAUUGCGUGUAAUCCAGCCUUGAGAUACUCCAAGCAAGCUUACCUCUGUGCUGUACACCCCUUAUAUCAGGAAGAUGAAGAGACCCUGUAAAAUAAAAUUGAGGGGAAAAGCUGUUAAUGCUAAUCAUUUCAGCAGUAGAAAUAUCUGAAAUAAACUUUCCUGGGAACAGACAAAAGAAGACACACUUCAUCAAGAUGCACUUCUCUUUAGAACAUAAGCAAGAAAAGCCCCCAAAGGCUGGCUUCUGAAGAGUGUGGUAAAGUAUGAAACUUGAAAUCACUCCAGGCACUAUCUGCCUCUCUUUCCUUUGGGUUUUCUGAUGCUACCACAGCCAGUUGAAAGGUAAAAUAGUAAUAGUAAUAAAUAAUUAAUUUCAUUUGAUGACCCCACAAAGUAUGACUUUUUUCCCACUGCGUUUACCAGCCACUGACAGUUGUGAUGACUUAGGUAUAACUCUACAGAACUUCAGGAACCCUUCAUUGCUGGAUAAGCAUCCCAUUUCCUGUAUUCUCCAAGGGGCAGAAUCAAAACAGAAACAAUUAAACAGAAAAAUCUUAAGCCAUUAACUAUGAGCCGCUUUUACAUUCCUGCAGAGAGAAUAUCUUUAAAAACAGCUGGAAGGAACCAACUGCCAAUCUUCAACUGGCACUGAGAUUUCUGGAACUCUUUUUACCAGCAUUCUGCCCUACUAAAAAGUGAAUACUGAAAGUGUGCCAGCUAUUUCUGAAAUGAAACAUCUUUCGUGUCUGUCAGGUAGUUUCUGCUAUUCCAUCCAUAGACAUAUCCAUCCAUAAUGUAUUUGGAGUCUUUGUCUAUAGAGAUACCAAAUUCUCGAUGUUUCAGUCCAGUAAAAAUAACAAUAAUUGGGCAGAAAGCAUCCAGAGUGUAGCUAGAUUCCUGUAGCAUGUGAGUGCUUUAUGGGCAGGAGCCAGGACUAGGGAAAAGUACACCAGGAUAUUACAUCUGAUACUGUACAGGAGUUAAAAAUAGAAACUUAAGAGAAAGGGGAGUGGGGAGAUCAUUUUAUUCUCGUUUAUCUAUGAAACAUUCAAAACUGAGUCAGCUUUGUAAAUAUUUUCAUUGUUACAGGAAGCCCACUGAAUAAUAUCUGCAGAUAGAUUCAAUAGCUGACAUCUAGUCUGCUGUUUUUAUAUUGAUUGUUCUGUACUUUUAGAGUGUGCUUCAUGAGUGCUACAAAAUCAAUCUUCUUUUAAGUGAUAUUAUAUUCUUUCCUUUUCCUACACAAAGAACAGGAAAGGUGCCUCCAAACACACUGCAUUGCCUACUCAAGAAUCAGAAUAAUAUUAACAAUGCUAAUACAUGUAUAGCUCUCUCAAAGGCUUUCAUUUACAUAAUUCCAUUUGUUCCUCACUACAGUACUGAAAAGUAGCUAGCAUGAGUAUUGCUGGCUUCAUUUUAUACGUGGGGAUUUUGAGGUGUGCUCAAAGUGGCACAAAGCUGAGAAUUUGGCAGAGCCAAGGAUUAGUGUUCUCACUCCUAAUACAAUACUCUUUCCCACACACUGCCUUAAAUAGAUGUGUUUGUAACUCUUAAGUCACCAGCUUCAAGGUAAGGCAGUUGGUGAGAUCGUUCGAAGCUCAGGUUUAUUGAACACCUAUUGCAGUUUGAUUAGCUCAUAGAGUCGGGGACUCAGCAUUUAGUAAUAGAGCUUCAUAUAACCCCAGUUCUUCACCAAUCUAGGUUGACCCAACAAGUUCAACAGGAAAUUUGCUUUGCAACGAUGAUUCUCAGUUGCUUUGUGCCAGGUUCUUUUGUCCUUUCCUUACAAAUUCUCAUUCAAUGAUGUAUACUUGCUAGUUGCUGGGAAACAUAUCUUUUUCCAUCAAAAGGCUGCUAGGUAACAGGAUAAUCAAACAUCUUUAUCAUUAUCAUCAUUUACUAAUCUUCUCUGAAUGUGUAGCACUACACUGUGUACUCUUAUUUAUUUAUAAAUCAUGUUCCAGCCUAUUUCCAAAAAACAAUUCCCAUUUUGGGGACUAUGUCCCAUAGAAAAAAAAAAAAACCAUCAUUGUAAAAGAUAUGUAUAUUAAAGGUUGCUUGUUGCAGCACUCUGUAGUGGCAAACAUCUGGGAAAAAAAAAACAACAAAAUGCCCUUCAGCCCAGGAAUGGUUGAACAAAUUGUGGUAUGUCCAUACAUUAGGAUAUUAAGCAGCUAAAAGAAUGAGUUAGAGCUGUAUUGUUAGCCUGGAGGGAUUUCCAUGCAUUGUUAAAUGAGAAAAGCAAGAAGAAAAGACACAUGUUACAUAUUCUCAUUUUUGUAAAAUAAUAAAAUUUUUUAUUUCCCCUGCCCCAAAAUAGCUAAUUAAACAGAAGAAAGGUAUGGAAGGACACACACCAAACCAUUAUCACCGGGUUCCUAGUGGGAAGGGUUGAGGAGAGGAGAGAGUCAAAAACAGGCAAGACAGAAGCAAACUGGAAAAAUAUGCAUGACGUUAUCAAUGGAAGAGAUGGAAUAUAUAAUUCUAUCCUGUUACUGGUUAAUUUGUUCACAUUGUGCAUAUCACAUAUCACUCUAAUAGUUUGGAAAAAUUUAGAGAAAAACCAUCAAAAAUGAACUUUAAAACAUUUCUACAGAAACAAACUAAUUAACUGAUUUUGAAACAAGGAACCCUUAUUGGACAAACUUGACCUUUCACAAUGUUACUUGCUGAGAAAUGCAGCAUAAGCAGACCUAGAAACAGAGAACCUGAGUUUCUACCAAUAAUGAUAAUCCAUAAAUCUCACUAUUUGAACUGAAAGGAAUGUAUAAGAUGAUUUUGGCAAGACUGAAUUGUGUCCUGAAUGGCAUUCAUUGAUAAACACUGCAAAGUCAAACAGGUGGAGAACUUGAUUCUAGAGAAAUUGGCCCCCACCAACCCAAGAAACGUGCUGAUUGGAUCCCACGGUGGGCUCUGAGACCCCAAACCUGUCACCCAGGUUAGUCUGUGUGCUACCAUGGUUCCUGGAAUGAAGAAUUGAGGAACUUAAAAGGCUUGGAAUUUUAAACCCUUUGCCUUUGUUUUCAUUUAUUUUUAUUUUGUUUUGGUUCUGAUUGGUUUUUGUUUUAUAACGUGAUCAUUUCACUGCCUCAAAGGAGAUGGGGGAGACAAAAGAAGAUCCAGCAUAUACCAAGUGCCUGUGGUGUCUGCUAGACAUGUUAUGAACUUCAUCACAUUUUACUCCCCCUAACAACCCUUUUGUAAAUAAGAAAAGAGGCUCAGAGAAUUCCACGAAUUUUGUCUAAAGUCUCAAAUUAGUAAGUGAGAGAGCCACGUAUUCAAACCCAGGUCCAAGUUCGUUUUCUUUCUCUGAGAACACACAGCCUUCUCAUGGAAUUAGAGGGACUAAUAGUGGGGGUACUAUGCAUCUGUCGAAAAAUGUGGAGUAAUUUUUAAGAGUAGAGCAUGUGCUUGGCAUUCAGGAGAAUUAGAAUUAUACUUGGGGAGAGAGCAUGAGAUCCAGAGGCACUAUGUCCCAGAUAUUUGUGACAGUCCCGAUUUCUGCCUCCAUCGUGAGUAUUCCCAUGUGUAACUGAACAUGAGCUCUGAUUUUGGUUUAGGAAAUCUUGUCAGAAUUGGUAUAGGUUACCCUAAAUAAAAAGACUUAAUGAU